GACACGCCAACUGAGAGCCAACCGGCCAGGGCAAGUGAAUACAUUUUUAAUGAGUGCCUACAAAUGUAGUAGUCAUAGUUGUAGGUGUGUUUUGAGUGGAAGUAAACAGACAAUAAACUCACAGAUAAGAGCAUAUUAGAUUUUAAUAAAUGCUGUGAAGAUAACAGAGAAAUAUGUCAAAGAACACUAGGGAAGGAGGGAUGCAUGCCUGUUUUAGUUCAAGUGACCAGCAAAGAUGUCCAGGUAAAGAGGAAUUUGAGUAUAACCUAAAUGAUAAUGAAUCUUCCAUGCCAAGUUUUAGAAGAAAAAUAUAUUAGCCAGAACACAGAGCAAAUGAAGCAAUCCUUGGACUGGAAUGAAUUUAAUGUGUUCCAGGAACAGAAAGAUCAGUGUGGCUUACAGUAUAGAGAACCAGGAGUAAAACUGAAAAGAUAACUUUAGAAAGGGUAAGGAGAGUUAAGGAUUUUACAAAGGAGUAGCUAGAGUGCUGGAUUAUAGAACAUAAACUGGAAAACAAGAUUAGGAAAGUCAGAAAAAGCCAUGGCUGGGUGGCUCAGUUGAUUGGAGCAUUGUCUAUACACCAGAAAGGAUGCAGGUUCCAUCCCAGAUGGGGCAUGUACCUAGGUUGCGGGGUCUGUCCCCACUCAGGGUGCCUAUUGGAGGCAACCAACUGAGGUUUUUCUCUCACAGUGAUGUUUCUCUCUCUCAAAAUCAAUAAACAUAUCCUUGGGGCAGAAUUUUUUUAAAAAAGGUAACAAUGGAGAGGGAGCCAGGUGUUAAAUUAAUGAGGAAAAUAUGCUUCAAAGGAGUUAGGGACUUUGAAGGAAAAAGGUUCAAAGUAGCAAAAAGCAGCAACAGGGACAAUAGGAAGGUGGAGAUCACUUACCCAACAGGCCUUGAGAUAUGAAUAAAACAGCCCCUCCUUGAGAGGGUUAUUGACUGCAGUAGUAGGGAAAGGGCAAUCAACCUAGCAGCAGGACAUCUGGGCUUAUGGCUCAGCUUUAGCAAUUGCUACCUGUGUAUCAUCUUGACAAGUCACCUAAUCUCUCUUAGCCUCAGGUACCCCAAGUGUAAAGUAGAAACACUUUACCUAUUUCGCAAAGCUGUUUUGAGGGUUAAAUAAAAAAUUUUGGUGAAAGUGCCUGGCAUACAAAAAGUCAUUUAAAUAUAACCUAAGUUUCUUGAAUGCAUGCAUAUAAAAAAGCUAGUUAAAUAAUUUUCAAAAUCGCAUGCACAUCAAUGUUGUUCAUGUUGGUGAAAGCCUUUCAUGGUAAAUCUGUACACGGAAAAUAGAGAAAUGAUGCACAGACUGGAUGCAGGUGAGGCGGGAAUGGUGUUCCGAGGAAGACUGACAUUAAAUAGUUCCGAGAACCCAACGGAUUGGCGGUCUUUACCCCCUUUGCUACCGUCUGACGUCUGAGUUUAUAAAGCAAACAUACAGCUUCAUCUUCGUUUCAAUUCCAGCUAAUGGAACAAAAAUCUAGUGCAACCCGAGUUCAUUUUCUUUGAAAAUGACAUAAGUAAGUGCUCAUCACCACAGCACGGUCAAGAUUAGUGAAACGGCCAUCUACCAGCUCACACACACCUGCAUCUUCCAAGAAACU